rnacentral:lncRNA from 1 species
GCGUCACUGGUGAGUCUUGUGUGGACAAGGCGCGUUUUUGGCGUAUUGAAUUUUAAACCUGAUGCUUUUUGUUAUUCAUUAAUCAUGUGUUUCUUUAUCUAAUACGUUCUCCUAUUUAUUUGUAUUGUAGUCCUGUAAUAUUGUGUUGUCAUUUCAAUGUUAUAUUUAACAUUGCCAUUAAAGUGCGAGGUUUGGCAUGCCACAAAACCAGGUUCAACCCACCAUUUUUUCCUUUAAAAAUGUCCUGUACCAAGUCAGGAAUAUGGCCAUUGUUAUAUUAUAGUUCGUUUCUGUGUGUGUUACAAUUUAACGUUGCGUCGUUUGUUUUCUCUUUUUUUUUUAAGUGUAAAUUGACAUUGCGAUAAGACGUGUCACGGCACUUGUC